rnacentral:misc_RNA from 1 species
GUGGAUUUGACGAUAACUCAGCUAAUUCAUGACCUAUAACGCUUAUCAUCCCGUCUACUCCAACAUCACCGUUUGGAGAUUUCAAUGCACCUGGUCCAUUUCCUCCCAUAUAUCCCGGAACAGCAAAUGGAUAUGCACAGACUUCAGGACAUUGCUUACCGGAAUUCCCAACCCAAGCAUAGGGAAGUGUGUAACCAACUUUGGAUGCAAAGGUGAAGUAAUGAAACCCACACACAGCGCGGCAGAAAUCCUGCAUCGUUACGUCGACGGAAGUUAACACUAGGUAGAUUCCUUUCUUAUGGUCGACUGUGAAGGGUUUUGAUUUAACAGCUUCGGCAAUGACGUCUUGUAUUGAGAGACGGGUGAGGUGAGUACCUUGAGAGUAUCUACGAUCGGAAUAUUCUCCGGCGAUGAGUACAGAUCGAGAAAUGUUAGCUCCGGUUUGGUCAGUGUACAACGAAACAGUACUCCACCACUCGGCUACUGAAGGUGAAGGCGCAGCGCGAUGAUUGAAAGUAGAUACGGAAAGAAGGAAGUCCUUAAUAAGGAGUUGCUGCGACGGUGUCCAUUUCCCGUACCAAAUGAGGUAAAUGUUGAUCGGAGAAGAAAGAACUGGACCCAUAUGGUAACGAAGGUUUACCAAGUCGGAUGAACCUUCAAAUUUCUUAUUCGAAGAUAGUGUUCUCGGAGGGAGUUUUGGAUUGAAGUAAUUUGAGUUUAUCAGGUUGAGAGUUUGUUCAGAUCCAUUGUUAGAUCCAAACUGAAUAACAAGAAACAAAAGAAACAGAUUUGCGAAAAACGACAUGAAUAGAAGAAGAGUGAAGCUUAUGAGAGGUAAAU